GACGAACGCUGGCGGCGUGCUUAACACAUGCAAGUCGAACGGAAAGGCCCUGCGUUUGUUGGGUGCUCGAGUGGCGAACGGGUGAGUAACACGUGAGUAACCUGCCCUUGACUUUGGGAUAACUUCAGGAAACUGGGGCUAAUACCGGAUAGGAGCUCCUGCUGCAUGGUGGGGGUUGGAAAGUUUCGGCGGUUGGGGAUGGACUCGCGGCUUAUCAGCUUGUUGGUGGGGUAGUGGCUUACCAAGGCUUUGACGGGUAGCCGGCCUGAGAGGGUGACCGGCCACAUUGGGACUGAGAUACGGCCCAGACUCCUACGGGAGGCAGCAGUGGGGAAUAUUGCACAAUGGGCGGAAGCCUGAUGCAGCAACGCCGCGUGCGGGAUGACGGCCUUCGGGUUGUAAACCGCUUUCGCCUGUGACGAAGCGUGAGUGACGGUAAUGGGUAAAGAAGCACCGGCUAACUACGUG
rnacentral:rRNA from 1 species